GCCUGGGUGGCUCAGUCGGUUGAGCGUCUGACUUCAGCUCAGGUCAUGAUCUCACAGUUUGUGAGUUCGAGCCCUGCAUCAGGCU
rnacentral:tRNA from 1 species